rnacentral:lncRNA from 1 species
UGUACCGUAAUGGAAAUAUAUGAUCAAGAGUAGAGGUCCUUUCUUCUCAAUACUGUCACUUGGAGGUUUUGUAUGUUUUUGAAAAAAAAUAGCAUACCUUUAUCCUCAUAGGUUCUCUCAGAUCACUCAUUUAUCCUUUAUAUAUCUCACUGUGGCUAUUUUAAUUCGCAGAAAUUUUCAAGCAUUCUUACCUUGCAUUUAUUGCCUGAUCAAAACAGGAUCCGAGGAGAGGAAUGCCAUACUCUUAGAUCAAAGCCUUUGGAAAUUAAAAACUUAUCAACUCUUACUGGCAUAUUGCUUAUUAGAGGGACCAUGGGCUAUCAUUUUCUUCUCUUUUCUCUUUUUUUUUUAAAACAGGUGGAUACUGAGGUACCCCUAAUUCUACUGCCGGACACUUGUCCAUUUUUUCUGCGAGGUUGUCGAGCACUUGCUCCUUUUUAUUUCCUCAAAUUAUUCAUAUUUUUGCAUAGCCCAUGCCUCUAAUGCAAUAAUACUUCGGAAGAGUGAAUCUUUUUGAAUAAAAAUGUCUUGAUCUUAGGAGCAUGAUAAAUCUCUCAACAAGGGUCUAACUCAUUUUGAGCAAACUCAAUACAGAGCAGAUAGCUUUUGUAAUUAUCAUAAUUAAUAUUUUCAGUUUUAUCAGGCAUAUAAAACACUGAGGAUGGUAGCUAGAAUUUUGAAGAUUUUGAAAUAAGUUCUCCGAGCAACAAUGAUAUCAAGAAUAAGGUACU